rnacentral:rRNA from 1 species
UACGUAGGGGGCAAGCGUUGUCCGGAUUUACUGGGCGUAAAGAGCGUGUAGGCGGCCAAGCAGGUCCGUUGUGAAAACUGGAGGCUUAACCUCCAGACGUCGACGGAAACCGCGUGGCUAGAGUCCGGAAGAGGAGAGUGGAAUUCCACGUGUAGCAGUGAAAUGCGUAGAGAUGUGGAGGAAUACCGAUGGCGAAGGCAGCCCCCUGGGCCAAUACUGACGCUCAUGCACGAAAGCGUGGGGAGCGAAA